GUGCCAGCCGCCGCGGUAAUACGUAGGUGGCAAGCGUUGUCCGGAUUUAUUGGGCGUAAAGCGAGCGCAGGCGGUUUCUUAAGCCUGAUGUGAAAGCCCCCGGCUCAACCGGGGAGGGUCAUUGGAAACUGGGAGACUUGAGUGCAGAAGAGGAGAGUGGAAUUCCAUGUGUAGCGGUGAAAUGCGUAGAUAUAUGGAGGAACACCAGUGGCGAAGGCGGCUCUCUGGUCUGUAACUGACGCUGAGGCUCGAAAGCGUGGGGAGCAAACAGGAUUAGAUACCCUGGUAGUCCACGCCGUAAACGAUGAGUGCUAAGUGUUGGAGGGUUUCCGCCCUUCAGUGCUGCAGCUAACGCAUUAAGCACUCCGCCUGGGGAGUACGACCGCAAGGUUGAAACUCAAAGGAAUUGACGGGGGCCCGCACAAGCGGUGGAGCAUGUAGUUUAAUUCGAAGCAACGCGAAGAACCUUACCAGGUCUUGACAUCCUUUGACCACUCUAGAGAUAGAGCUUCCCCUUCGGGGGCAAAGCGACAGGUGGUGCAUGGUUGUCGUCAGCUCGUGUCGUGAGAUGUUGGGUUAAGUCCCGCAACGAGCGCAACCCUUAUUGUUAGUUGCCAUCAUUCAGUUGGGCACUCUAGCAAGACCGCCGGUGACAAACCGGAGGAAGGUGGGGAUGACGUCAAAUCAUCAUGCCCCUUAUGACCUGGACUACACACGUGCUACAAUGGGAAGUACAACGAGUUGCGAAGUCGCGAGGCUAAGCUAAUCUCUUAAAGCUUCUCUCAGUUCGGAUUGCAGGCUGCAACUCGCCUGCAUGAAGCCGGAAUCGCUAGUAAUCGCGGAUCAGCACGCCGCGGUGAAUACGUUCCCGGGCCUUGUACACACCGCCCGU
rnacentral:rRNA from 1 species